rnacentral:lncRNA from 1 species
CUGUAAGAUGGUAAUCCCCAUUGUGCACAUGCUGGGAAGGACAAGGUAUGACUCUGCUCCUGGGCCAGGAGCUGGGGUCAGGGAAGGCACUGACCACUCCCUCCACCGCCCCUCUUCCUGUGUGCUUGCUCUCUGCUGUGCUUGGUGGUUCUCAGAGCUGGUGAGGCUCAGGAAGGCUUCCUGGAGGAGGGGUCCUCUCACCCAGCAGGCUUCCACAGACCCUUCCUGUCCUCCCUCCACUUCUAAGCCCUCUCUUGCCUCCCCUCAGGUGCAGGGAGCUGCCCGACGAUACAGAGACCACGGCCUCAGUGGCUCCCUGGCUGUACACACGUCCAGCCAGGAGCUGCUUCUGCUGGAGGCCGACACCAGCCAGGACGCCCGGAGACGCAGCCGGGGCUGGGACACGACAGUCCUCCUCCACCAGGCAGUCUUCAGCGCCCCCCGAGCUGUUCACUUGCAGCUGUCCAGCAAGGUGGCCCCAGCCAGGUACCGUCAGGGUCACUGCUGACUCAGCCGUGCUGGGCUUCCUCCUGCGGGACAAGCAUGAGACGGCAGGGAACAGCACCAGCAUACACACCGUGACGGGCAUCCUCACCCAGAACAGCAGCCAGGUCUUGCCAAGAGAGCUCUGGCUGAGAGGGCGUCUGCAGGCCCAGACGGGGAGCCUUGGGGGCCAGGCCCGCUUCCGAGCCGAUGAGGCCAGCCUGGCUCUGGGUGGGGUCUGCGCCUGGGGCCCCGGGCACGGCCAGCUCUCGGGGAGCCUGAGUCACAACAUCAGCACCUUGAGUGAGGCAGGACUCCCCUCGGAGGCAGAGAUGCUCCUGUCACACACCCAUGGGGCUUCCAACCUGUCAGCAAGCCUGGCACUGCGGAGUGCAUGGGGUCAGCUGGAUGCUGCCCUCGGCCUGGAUGGCCCAACCCCUGGAGCCCCAGGCAGCCGGCUCCACACCAGCUUGGCCCACUCGGUGCCUGGCCUCAGGCGCUGGGGCCUCCCCUUCUCCAUGGACGGCCAAGGCCACUUCCAGGUGGGUUGGGGUCUGGGGGCUGGGGGCUGGGUGCCGGCCGGGGUUGGGGAGGUAGCGGGUCCCAGGGACACCCACAGCUUUGCUUCUGCCCAGAGCAUGGGACCCCGCGUGGUGGCUGGGCUGAUGGCGAGCGUGGACGGUGAGCAGCUCCAUGUGGUCCUGGAGACCAGGCGACAGCGUGGCCACCACAGGCUAGCCCUGGGGCUGCACCAGGGCCUCUCUGUGCUGCUGGGCACCGUGCCCGCGCGGCUUUGGGUCAACUGCAGCGGAGACGCCUCACCCACCCAGCUCUCAGGUCUCUGCAAGGGGGACUUCAUGGGGCAGCCUCUCGAGGUACGUGGGUCCCUCUCAUAGGUGGGCAGUGGGUCCUCUCUGUCACAGGCAGAUCGUGGCGGGCUGAGCUCCCUGAGCUCUGGCAGGUCCCGUGGCUCCUGGACCUGGGGUGAACUAGACACUGGGGCAACCACAGGGCUUCCUGCAGACCUUGUCAGUGCUGCUCUGUAGGCACCUGAGUGAGCAGCUGGUUGCAGGCCUGGCCUGGCGGAGCUCUGUGGCUUGAUGGCAGUGGAGGGGGACGUAGCCCAGAGGACUCGGGGGGUGGAGGACAGAGGUAUUCUGCCCCUGCGGCUCGCCGUCCUGGCCUGGCUGUGUGCUGGCAUCCCCCCCUGCAGGAGCUGGGUCGCUUUCCCAGGGUCACACGGGGGCCUCAAUGGUGGGAGAGUUAACUAAGAGAAUAGGGGGUCAGGACGGAAAGGGUUUUUAACAGGCUGGACAGAGGGGCUGCCUUUCGUCCAUGAAACUGAAGAGCCAGGGCACGUGGAAUGGGGGAGCUGUGCGCCUGGCACCCAGUCAGGGGUUUGUGGGCGGGGGCUUGGUUGCUAGAAAGAGUGACUGGGGAAGGGGGUUGGAACAGGAG